GGAACGAAAAUAUCUUGGCAAGAAAACCAGUCAAAGUAACACCAAGUGUUGUUACAGGAUGUUGUUGACCUGGAACUGAAGAGUGAGGGACGGCCAGAGCAGGAGCUGGCAGUGCGUCUGGACUUUAUCCCGUCAGCAGAGAAGGACUUCCUGGAGAAAAGGAAAGUGGUGGUGGGGCGGGCUUUGCACAAGCUGCUGGAGCUCAGUUCCCCUCUACAGACAGAUAUGGUCCCCCUGGUGGGUGUGGUUUGCUCGGGGGGCGGGACCAGGGCGAUGACUGGCGCUUUUGGGAGUCUGAAGGGUCUCCAGACUCUGGGAAUCCUGGAUGCCAUCAGCUACAUCACUGGGGUCUCAGGGGCCACAUGGUGAGUCCGCUCUCAUGAGUAAAG